AGGAAUCAUUACCAAGAAAGUAAUUACUUAGAUAUUGAUGCAGAUGGGAGAAAAAAGACACUGGAGAUAUCAGAUUCCUGCAGUGUUAAUGGGCACCAGCAGACUGAAAAUGGAAACACAGCAUCAAUAAAUACUGCAGAAAAGACAGAGGGUGAAGUGUGCUAUGCCUCAGUCAACUGGAGAACUAAAGAACAAAGAAAACAACUAAAGAAACCAGCCUCAGUGAUGCAGGUCAAUCAAUCUGAGGAGUACGCCACUGUGAAAUUCAUAAAGACCACACGCAACCUCAGACCAGAACUGCUUUGGUGAUUAAUGAGUGAGACACUUCUUGCUGUUUUUGCUAAAUGUAUGACAAAUCUUGCAGUAUACAAUAUGUUGUAAAAGCUGAUUAUUUUAUAAACCAGAAGGAGGACAACAAGAAAGGGCACAUGGGUUGUUGUUUUCUUCUUGGUUAAUUUAUUAAUGAUAAAAUUAACGAUGAAAUAACAAGCAAAAUAAAAAGGUCCCAAACGUUCAAUGCAGUCGGUUCCUUGACCUUAAUAUCUACUUGCCUUUCUUCACAUUUUUCUUUAAAUGUGUUAUAUUACAGUAUAUUGUUCACUAUUGUAAUUUAAUUCUGUCAAGCUUGUGGAAAUUUCCUUCAUGUAAAAUAUUUU